rnacentral:miRNA from 1 species
AGUUUCUCUGUAUAGCCCUGGCUGUCCUGGAACUAACUUUGUAGACCAGGCUGGCCUUGAACUCAGAAAUCUACCUGCCUCUGCCUCCUGAGUGCUGGGAUUAAAGGCAUGCACCACCACGCCUG